UACGAAGGGGGCUAGCGUUGCUCGGAAUCACUGGGCGUAAAGGGUGCGUAGGCGGCUUACUAAGUCAGGGGUGAAAUCCUGGAGCUCAACUCCAGAACUGCCUUUGAUACUGGUAAGCUCGAGUCCGGGAGAGGUGAGUGGAACUGCGAGUGUAGAGGUGAAAUUCGUAGAUAUUCGCAAGAACACCAGUGGCGAAGGCGGCUCACUGGCCCGGUACUGACGCUGAGGUGCGAAAGCGUGGGGAGCAAACAGG
rnacentral:rRNA from 1 species